UAAGACGGAGGGCGCAAGCGUUGUUCGGAAUUACUGGGCGUAAAGGGCGGGCAGGUGGUCUGUUAAGUCGUCUGUGAAAAUCCGGGGCUCAACCCCGUGAAAUGCAGGCGAAACUGGCAGACUGGAGACCAGUAGAGGCUAGCGGAAUUCCUGGUGUAGCGGUGGAAUGCGUAGAUAUCGGGAAGAACACCUGUGGCGAAGGCGGCUAGCUGGGCUGGAUCUGACACUCAUCCGCGAAAGCGUGGGGAGCAAACAGGAUUAGAUACCCUGGUAGUCCACGCCGUAAACGAUGGGCACUAGGUAGGGGGGUUCCAAUGCCUCCCUGCUGGAGAAAAUUCGUUAAGUGCCCCGCCUGGGGAGUAUAGUCGCAAGGCUG
rnacentral:rRNA from 1 species